rnacentral:rRNA from 1 species
AUUGAACGCUGGCGGCAGGCUUAACACAUGCAAGUCGAGCGGAGAUGAGGUGCUUGCACCUUAUCUUAGCGGCGGACGGGUGAGUAAUGCUUAGGAAUCUGCCUAUUAGUGGGGGACAACAUUCCGAAAGGAAUGCUAAUACCGCAUACGUCCUACGGGAGAAAGCAGGGGAUCUUCGGACCUUGCGCUAAUAGAUGAGCCUAAGUCGGAUUAGUUAGUUGGUGGGGUAAAGGCCUACCAAGGCGACGAUCUGUAGCGGGUCUGAGAGGAUGAUCCGCCACACUGGGACUGAGACACGGCCCAGACUCCUACGGGAGGCAGCAGGGGGGAAUAUUGGACAAUGGGGGGAACCCUGAUCCAGCCAUGCCGCGUGUGUGAAGAAGGCCUUAUGGUUGUAAAGCACUUUAAGCGAGGAGGAGGCUACUGAGACUAAUACUCUUGGAUAGUGGACGUUACUCGCAGAAUAAGCACCGGCUAACUCUGUGCCAGCCGCCGCCGUAAGAC